CCGGGGCUAAAAAGUACUACCGAAGCUACGGCAUCAUUUAUGAUGGGUAGGGGAGCUUCGUAUGCAGGCUGAAGCAUGACCGUAAGGACAUGUGGACAGUAUACGAGUGAGAAUGUUGGCAUGAGUAGCGAGACGUGGGUGAGAAUCCCACGGGCCGUAAACCCAAGGUUUCCAGGGGAAGGUUCGUCCGCCCUGGGUUAGUCGGGACCUAAGCCGAGGCCGAAAGGCGUAGGUGAUGGACAACAGGUUGAUAUUCCUGUACCGCCAAUAAGCGUUUGAGAGAUGGAGUGACACAGUAGGAUAAGCUAACCGUACUGUUGGUUAUGUACGGCUAAGCAUUGAGGCAGUCUAAAUAGGCAAAUCCGUUUAGAUAAUGCUAGGAUGUGAUGGGGAAGCCCUUCGGGGCGAAGUAGCUGAUUUCACACUGUCAAGAAAAGCUUCUAUCGAGUUUAAAGGCGCCCGUACCGUAAACCGACACAGGUGGGUGAGGAGAGUAUCCUAAGGCCAGCGAGAGAACUAUUGUUAAGGAACUCGGCAAAAUGACCCCGUAACUUAGGGAGAAGGGGUGCCUGUCUAUGACAGGCCGCAGAGAAUAGGCCCAAGCGACUGUUUACCAAAAACACAGGUUUCUGCUAAGUCGCAAGACGAUGUAUAGGAGCUGACGCCUGCCCGGUGCUGGAAGGUUAAGGGGAUCUGUUAGAGCAAUCGAAGCAGUGAACUUAAGCCCCAGUAAACGGCGGCCGUAACUAUAACGGUCCUAAGGUAGCGAAAUUCCUUGUCGGGUAAGUUCCGACCCGCACGAAAGGCGUAACGAUUUGGGCACUGUCUCAACAAUAGACUCGGUGAAAUUGUAAUCCCGGUGAAGAUGCCGGGUACCUGCGACAGGACGGAAAGACCCCAUGGAGCUUUACUGUAGCUUGACGUUGGGUCUUGGUACUACAUGUACAGGAUAGGUGGGAGACUAUGAAGCAUGGACGCCAGUCUGUGUGGAGUCAUCCUUGGGAUACCACCCUUGUAGUACUGGGAUCCUAACCAUAGGCCUUGAAUCAGGUCUUGGAACACCGUCAGGUGGGCAGUUUGACUGGGGCGGUCGCCUCCUAAAAAGUAACGGAGGCGCUCAAAGGUUUCCUCAGCACGGUCGGAAAUCGUGCGAAGAGCGUAAAGGCAAAAGGAAGCUUGAUUGCAAGACAUACAGGUCGAGCAAGGACGAAAGUCGGACUUAGUGAUCCGGUGGUACCGCAUGGAAGGGCCAUCGCUCAACGGAUAAAAGCUACCCUGGGGAUAACAGGCUUAUCUCCCCCAAGAGUCCACAUCGACGGGGAGGUUUGGCACCUCGAUGUCGGCUCAUCACAUCCUGGGGCUGUAGUAGGUCCCAAGGGGUUGGGCUGUUCGCCCAUUAAAGUGGUACGCGAGCUGGGUUCAGAACGUCGUGAGACAGUUCGGUCCCUAUCCGUCGCAGGCGUAGGAAAUUUGAGAAGACCUGUCCUUAGUACGAGAGGACCGGGAUGGACGUACCUCUGGUGUACCAGUUGUUCUGCCAAGGGCAUGGCUGGGUAGCUAUGUACGGAAUGGAUAAGCGCUGAAAGCAUCUAAGCGCGAAGCCAACUUCAAGAUAAAAUUUCCCACCGUAAGGGUAAGACCCCAGGAAGACUACCUGGUUGAUAGGUCGAAGGUGUAAGUGCAGUAAUGUAUUUAGCUUAUCGAUACUAAUAGGUCGAGGACUUGACC
rnacentral:rRNA from 1 species